rnacentral:rRNA from 1 species
CACGUAGGGGACGAGCGUUGUCCGGAUUUAUUGGGCGUAAAGAGCUCGUAGGCGGCUCAGUAAGUCGGGUGUGAAAACUCCAGGCUCAACCUGGAGACGCCACCUGAUACUGCUGUGGCUAGAGUCCGGUAGGGGAGCAUGGAAUUCCUGGUCGUAGCGGUGAAAUGCGCAGAUAUCAGGAGGAACACCAGUGGCGAAGGCGGUGCUCUGGGCCGGAACUGACGCUGAGGAGCGAAGCGUGGGAGCAAACAGG